AGUGAACGCUGGCGGUAGGCCUAACACAUGCAAGUCGAACGGCAGCACAGUAAGAGCUUGCUCUUACGGGUGGCGAGUGGCGGACGGGUGAGGAAUACAUCGGAAUCUACUUUUUCGUGGGGGAUAACGUAGGGAAACUUACGCUAAUACCGCAUACGACCUACGGGUGAAAGCAGGGGAUCUUCGGACCUUGCGCGAUUGAAUGAGCCGAUGUCGGAUUAGCUAGUUGGCGGGGUAAAGGCCCACCAAGGCGACGAUCCGUAGCUGGUCUGAGAGGAUGAUCAGCCACACUGGAACUGAGACACGGGCCCGACUCCUACGGGAGGCAGCAGUGGGGAAUAUUGGACAAUGGGCGCAAGCCUGAUCCAGCCAUACCGCGUGGGUGAAGAAGGCCUUCGGGUUGUAAAGCCCUUUUGUUGGGAAAGAAAAGCAGCAGGUUAAUACCCCGCUGUUCUGACGGUACCCAAAGAAUAAGCACCGGCUAACUUCGUG
rnacentral:rRNA from 1 species